CAAUAGCGUAUAUUAAAGUUGUUGCAGUUAAAAAGCUCGUAGUUGGAUUUCUGGUAGGAGCGACCGUGCCGAACUUGAUUGUUCGAGUAUUGUGUUGUCUUCAGCCAUCCUCGUGGAGAACUUUUCUAACAUUAACUUGUUGGGAUUGGGACCCGCGUCGUUUACUGUGAAAAAAUUAGAGUGUUUAAAGCAGGCAUUAGCUUGAAUACAUUAGCAUGGAAUAAUAAGAUAGGACUUUGGUACUAUUUUGUCGGUUUGCAUACCAAAUUAAUGAUCAACAGGAACAGUUUGAGGAUAUUCGUAUGAACAUGUCAGAGGUGAAAUUCUUGGAUUUUGAUCAGACGAACUACUGCGAAAGCAUUUAUCAAGGAUGUUUUCAUUAA
rnacentral:rRNA from 1 species